GGAGAGAUGCUCGAGUGGCUGAAGAGGCACGCCUGGAAAGCGUGUGGCCUCCUAAAGGGGCUCGCGAGUUCGAAUCUCGCUCUCUCCGCGA
rnacentral:tRNA from 1 species